rnacentral:rRNA from 1 species
UACGGAGGGUGCGAGCGUUGUCCGGAAUCAUUGGGCGUAAAGGGCGCGUAGGUGGCCCGGUCAGUCCGUGGUGAAAGCGCGGGGCUCAACCCUGCGUCGGCCAUGGAUACUGCCGCGGCUGGAGCACUGUAGAGGCAGGCGGAAUUCCGGGGUGUAGCGGUGGAAUGCGUAGAGAUCCGGAAGAACACCGGUGGCGAAGGCGGCAUCCUGGACCAACACUGACGCUGAGUGAGCGAAAGCUAGGGGAGCAAACGGGG